CUAGACCACUCUAUGUAGCCGAAUGGUGAUAGAAUAGAUAAACUCUCAGGGAGGAAAAAGCAGUUCGGUUAUAUUUCCUUAAACCAACCUACCAUCAGUGAUUCAAAAUGGGGAAAGAUCACUUACAAAUCUGAUGCCUUACUACAUUCCAAACUCGUAAGAGUGACCUCAGCACUUGAAAAGACAAAACACCAUAAACCAGGAACUUUAAUGUUAAUCUCCCAGCUAUUUCAGCAAUACUAAAGUUGGCAAUGCUGGACGGAGGCUUCCACUUCUCCUUUCCUGUUACCCAGAAUCUUCUGUUGAUUGAAAAAUGGAUAGAAAAUAGACAAGAGUUCUCUGGCCACUCAGAAAAUGAAGACACCAUCAGCUGGGUCCCUCCCACCAGGGCUAGGGUUAAAGUCCCAAUUACCUUUCAUCUACUUCCCAC
rnacentral:lncRNA from 1 species